UUACACAGACAUGUUGAUUUUACACAAACAUCAGUUUUCCAUUUCAAUGUUUCUCUCACACCUCUUCCUCUUCCCACCACAUAUCUUCCUCUUUCCACCAAGCUUUCUCUCUCCGGUGGUGAUUAGCUCUGACAGAAUAUAGCCUCGGUGGUGAUAUCCGGAAUCUCUGUCUCCUCUCUCCCUACACAGCUCCAAGGUGGACGAGACUUAAACCCAGAAAAGCAUUUGCUAAUGCAUUAGCAGCAGCGCCAUCCAUGUGGACUCUUGGAAAUGCAGGCAUGAGAGCAUUGCAGCUCCAAUGGCUUCCUCCAUGCCCAAACAACUUGGAGAGCUUCUCCAAGAGCAACAAGAGCCUUUCAUCCUUGAGCUCUACCUGUUUGAGAAAGGGUAUCUGAGAAACAACUUCAAUUCAGAGACCAACUUUCAUUGCUGCUUUGGCAAUCCAAGCAGCUUCUUGAAGAGGUCAGCUAGCUGGGGUGGUCUAAGCAGAGAAGAAAAGCUAUUCUAAGCUGUUCCAAGAUUGUACAACUUCUGUGUUUAACCAGAUUGUAUCCAUUACUAAUGUGCUUUAUUAUAUGGAUUUAGUAUUUUUUUUUUCUUUUUAUUAUAGAUUUAGUAUACAAUAACUUUAAUUUAUGUUUUUUGUUCAGUGUUUAUAAUUUUUUUUACUUGCUCUUA